GAGACAUCUCAUUUGCCAUGCAAACUUAAUCUCUACAGUCUGUAUUACUCUCUCUCUCUCUCUAUUAUACCUCUCAAAACGACACUACACCAACCUAAAUUCGAUAUCAUCGAGUGUUUUUCCUCUCUUUUUGCCUUUUUGGGUGUCCAGGUUUUUGGCUCCUUGGUGUAAUCUUGAAGAAGAAACAAGAAAGAGAGAAAGAGGAGUAAUGGAGGAGCAGGUGAAGGAACAAGGGGGACCUACUGCUUGAUUUUUGGCUGGCAGAAACGGUCACUGUCAAUGAUUUUUCUUCUUUGGGUGGUAUUGGUGGUUUAUCUGAAUAUCUAGUCACUAAUCACACUCACAGACUCACUAUCUUGCAGUAUUGCUUAGGGGAGAUCUUGGUGAUCAAGAUCCCUGCCCAUCCUUAUCACGCUUUUUCCUUUCUUAUUUUGAGGGAAUUUGUUGGUGCCUGUUGUUAUCUCCCAAGAAAGCUGAAAACUUAAGCUGCUUUCUUUUGGUACUUGGGCUCUUAAGGGAAACAGCAGAUUUCAGUCAUAUGAGGAGAUCUUUCACCCUAGUGGAUGUGCUUCUGGUACUUGCACUCUUCAGUGACGUUCCAUGGCUUAUCAAGGGCAGUUCAUAUUGCAAACGGGCUAACUCUGCAGCUAUUCGGCCUCACAGUGUCACUAUUACUGAAUUUGGUGCAGUUGGAGAUGGGGUCACUCUCAACACCAAAGCAUUUCAGAAUGCUAUUUUCUAUCUCAACUCAUUUGCUGAUAAGGGAGGCGCCAAGCUUUUUGUCCCAGCUGGCCAGUGGUUGACAGGCAGCUUCGAUCUCAUCAGUCAUCUGACAUUGUGGUUAGAUAAGGAUGCAAUGAUUCUUGGAUCAACUGUAAGUUUUCACUUCCAUGCCACAGGAUAUAUGCGUACAAAAUAGCUUACACUCAUUGCCAGUUAUCUGCAGUCUGUUUUAUGACUGACCCGUUUUUAGUUGAUCUAAAGUAGGAAGUAUGUAAGGGAUUCUAAGAAGCUAUUGUUAAGAUAAGACAUGUAAUUAAUGUGAAUUACAAGGAAGUUGUGUUUAAUUGAAAUAUAAUAACUUAAUACCCAUUGAGUUGAUAUGCCAAUUAAUGCAAGAAUGACAGUGAAUCUGUGAUAGUCGGUGCCUCAUUGAUAUCCACUGGUGCAAGUUGAGCCCCUAGUCCAACUGAAAAGUGAUAGUUAUGAUAUUUUGGCUCAUGAUAUUUAAAAAAAAAAAAAAAACUUGACCUGCCAAUUCCAGAACUCUGAUGAUUGGCCAGUUGUUGAUCCUCUACCAUCAUAUGGGCGAGGAAGGGAGUUGCCUGGUAGGAGGCAUCGAAGCCUCAUUUAUGGCUGCAAUUUGACAGAUGUUGUUAUAACAGGUUGGUGAUGUCAAUGAAGGACUAAAUACCACGUUUGUUUUGUUUGCUUUCAUAAUAUCACUGGUUUCUCUGUGCAGGGGAUAAUGGAACUAUUGAUGGUCAAGGCAGCAUCUGGUGGAAUUGGUUCCAAACCAAAACCCUGAACUAUACCCGGCCUCAUCUGGUUGAGUUAAUGAACUCAACUGGGAUAGUUAUCUCAAACCUGACCUUCAUAAAUUCACCAUUCUGGACAAUCCACCCUGUUUACUGCAGGUUUGUCCCUCCAAAUGGACUAUAAUGCAUCUCUCCCCUGUUUGUCGUACUUGAAGUUUUUAAAUUGACAUAUAAAACUUUGCAAAAGUGAAACUUUCAUGAAUUAGGGGGAGAGUUGAGAUUGUUUUUCUGGAUGAACAGCCAAGUUAUUGUCCAAAAUGUUACGAUCCGUGCUCCUCUUGAUUCACCAAACACAGAUGGGAUUGAUCCAGGUAAACUUUCUCUGGUAGGCUGGAAGUUAUUCCAAUUUAAUGUAUAAAUGACGAGUACCAUAGUUUGAGAAGCAAAUUCUAUAACAGAAAAGUUGUAGUUCUUCCCAUGUGGUAACUAGAGCAAUAAGUUUUUGCUAAUUGGAUUCCCAGCUUUCUAGCUGUCGUUGUCUUGGAACCUGUUCUGGCUUUAAUUUUAGGGCAAGAAAUAUUUUCUCCUCUAAACAGCAAUUUCAACACUGCCUUGCUCAACCAUUUUCAAUUACUUGCUUCAAAUGCUUCAUUAGGGUUCUUACCUAUUCAUUUAAAUGCAAUCAGAUUCUUCUGAUGAUGUGUGCAUUGAGGACUGUUACAUUAGUACUGGUGAUGAUAUAAUUGCGAUCAAAAGUGGGUGGGAUGAGUAUGGCAUAUCAUAUGCUCGUCCUUGCAGAAACAUUACUAUUCGCCGGCUUGUUGGACAAACUCGAACAAGUGCAGGGAUUGCAAUUGGAAGUGAGAUGUCUGGAGGUGUAUCUGAAGUUCGUGCUGAAAAUAUCCAGUUUUAUAAUUCAAGUACAGGUAUCAGGAUAAAGACUUCUCCAGGAAGGGGUGGCUAUGUGAGAAAUAUCUAUAUAUCAAAUAUAACCUUGACUGAUGUGAAAAUAGCUAUAAGGUUCACUGGUCGUUAUGGGGAACACCCAGAUGAACAUUAUGAUCCAAAAGCUCUUCCAAUCGUAGAAAGGAUAACCAUUGAAGACAUCACAGGAGAUAACAUUGAGUAUGCAGGCAUCCUAGAUGGUAUAGAAGCAGACAGUUUUCUGAACAUCUGCCUAUCGAACAUUACCCUUAACGUAACCUCCAAGUCUCCUUGGAACUGUUCAUAUAUCCAAGGAUAUUCUGACUCAGUUUCCCCAGAAACUUGUGAGCCCCUCAGGGAGAGUAUCUCCCCUUAUUAUUACUCUGAUUGUUACCAUCUAUCAAGUCAUUUGCUGAAUUCAAGUAAUCAAAACAGAAGUACUUGGUUGCUGUCUUGGUAAAUUUAUGGAAGCUUUAGUAUUUGUUCAGUGGUCUACUCACCUUCGAUUGUGAAAGGUCAAUUAAGUUCAAAUUUUGAUUCUUGCCAUUUUGCUCAUUGCCAUGCAGAGAAAAAUGAUUGCCUGACACAUAGAAUUGAGUCAAGUUGCUGCUUUGUUGUUGACUUGUGAAAGAGUAUUGAGGAAUGAUUUUUCGUGUGACUUUGUGUGCAGUAACAAAUAAUUGAGUGAUUUAUCAGAAAGUGAAAAUAGAAUGAGUUUAUAUUCACUCUCUCUCCACUCAUAGUUGUUUUAUUUCUUUUAUUUAUUAAAUGGUAGAAUUAUAUU
rnacentral:misc_RNA from 1 species